rnacentral:lncRNA from 1 species
CUAACUUUUUGAAUCAUUUUGUUUACUCGCAGAAGACGUUUUUUUGUCUACGUACUCAAUCAUUCUCUUUGGUGUACGGCUCUUGACGUGUCUAGGUAUCUAUUCUCUAAGCUAUUGGACGCAUGCAGUUUAAAAGAAGGACGAAAGAUAUCAAAAAGACAGUCAAACUCAUAAAUCUAAAAUAAACUGACAACGCCAUGGCUAAAAAUGAAAAAGACAAACAGACAAACUAUAGUACACAUGACACAACAUAGAAAAAUAAAAAAAUAAACAACACGAACCCCACCAAAAACUAGGGGUGAUCCCAGGUGCUCCGGAAGGGUAAGGAGAUCCUGCUCCACAUGUGGCACCC